GAUGAAGAACGUAGCGAAAUGCGAUAAGUAAUGUGAAUUGCAGAAUUCAGUGAAUCAUCGAAUCUUUGAACGCACAUUGCGCCCGCCAGUAUUCUGGCGGGCAUGCCUGUCCGAGCGUCAUUUCAACCCUCGAACCCCUCCGGGGGGUCGGCGUUGGGGAUCGGCCCCUCACCGGGCCGCCCCCGAAAUCCAGUGGCGGUCUCGCCGCAGCCUCUCCUGCGCAGUAGUUUGCACACUCGCACCGGGAGCGCGGCGCGGCCACAGCCGUAAAACACCCCAAACUCUGAAAUGUUGACCUCGGAUCAGGCAGGAAUACCCGCUGAACUUAAGCAUAUCAAUAAGCGGAGGA
rnacentral:misc_RNA from 1 species